CUACGGGGGGCACCAGUGAGGAAUUUUGCGCAAUGGGGGGAACCCUGACGCAGCAACGCCGCGUGAGUGAUGAAGGCUUUCGGGUCGUAAAGCUCUGUCAAGUGGGAAGAACCUAUGCAGUGUUAAUAUCACUGUAUACUGACGGUACCACUGAAGGAAGCACCGGCUAACUCCGUGCCAGCAGCCGCGGUAAUACGGGGGGUGCAAGCGUUAUUCGGAAUCAUUGGGCGUAAAGGGCACGUAGGCGGCUUGGUAAGUCAGAUGUGAAAGCCCGGGGCUUAACCCCGGAAGUGCAUUUGAUACUGUCAGGCUUGAGUAUGGGAGAGGGAAGUGGAAUUCCUGGUGUAGAGGUGAAAUUCGUAGAUAUCAGGAGGAACACCGGUGGCGAAGGCGACUUCCUGGACCAAUACUGACGCUGAGGUGCGAAGGCGUGGGUAGCAAACAGGAUUAGAUACCCUUGUAGUC
rnacentral:rRNA from 1 species